UAAAGGGCCGCGGUAUAUUGACCGUGCAAAGGUAGCAUAAUCAUUAGUCUUCUAAUUAAAGGCUGGUAUGAAUGGUUGGACGAGGUAUUAGCUGUCUCCCUGAAACUAUUUUGAAUUUAACUUUUUAGUCAAAAGGCUGAAAUGAAAUUGGAGGACGAGAAGACCCUAUAGAUCUUGAUAUUAAAAUUGUUUAAUCAUUUUAGGUGGAUUUAGAUUUAAUGAUGUAAAUAUUUUGUUGGGGUGACAGGAAGAUAAUAAAAACUAUUUUUAUAAAGUUAACAUUGAUAUAUGAUUAAAUGAUCCGUGGUAGCGAUUAAAAGACUAAGUUACCUUAGGGAUAACAGCGUAAUCUUUUUUGAGAGUUCUAAUCGACAAAAAGGGUUGCGACCUCGAUGUUGGACUAAGGGUUAUUCUUGGGUGUAGAAGUUCAAGGUUUAGGUCUGUUCGACCUUUGAACCCUUACAU
rnacentral:rRNA from 1 species